rnacentral:rRNA from 1 species
GGGUUGUGAGGUUAAGCGACUAAGCGUACACGGUGGAUGCCCUGGCAGUCAGAGGCGAUGAAGGACGUGCUAAUCUGCGAUAAGCGUCGGUAAGGUGAUAUGAACCGUUAUAACCGGCGAUUUCCGAAUGGGGAAACCCAGUGUGUUUCGACACACUAUCAUUAACUGAAUCCAUAGGUUAAUGAGGCGAACCGGGGGAACUGAAACAUCUAAGUACCCCGAGGAAAAGAAAUCAACCGAGAUUCCCCCAGUAGCGGCGAGCGAACGGGGAGCAGCCCAGAGCCUGAAUCAGUGUGUGUGUUAGUGGAAGCGUCUGGAAAGGCGCGCGAUACAGGGUGACAGCCCCGUACACAAAAAUGCACAUGCUGUGAGCUCGAUGAGUAGGGCGGGACACGUGGUAUCCUGUCUGAAUAUGGGGGGACCAUCCUCCAAGGCUAAAUACUCCUGACUGACCGAUAGUGAACCAGUACCGUGAGGGAAAGGCGAAAAGAACCCCGGCGAGGGGAGUGAAAAAGAACCUGAAACCGUGUACGUACAAGCAGUGGGAGCACAGAGCAAUCUGUGUGACUGCGUACCUUUUGUAUAAUGGGUCAGCGACUUAUAUUCUGUAGCAAGGUUAACCGAAUAGGGGAGCCGAAGGGAAACCGAGUCUUAACUGGGCGUUAAGUUGCAGGGUAUAGACCCGAAACCCGGUGAUCUAGCCAUGGGCAGGUUGAAGGUUGGGUAACACUAACUGGAGGACCGAACCGACUAAUGUUGAAAAAUUAGCGGAUGACUUGUGGCUGGGGGUGAAAGGCCAAUCAAACCGGGAGAUAGCUGGUUCUCCCCGAAAGCUAUUUAGGUAGCGCCUCGUGAAUUCAUCUCCGGGGGUAGAGCACUGUUUCGGCAAGGGGGUCAUCCCGACUUACCAACCCGAUGCAAACUGCGAAUACCGGAGAAUGUUAUCACGGGAGACACACGGCGGGUGCUAACGUCCGUCGUGAAGAGGGAAACAACCCAGACCGCCAGCUAAGGUCCCAAAGUCAUGGUUAAGUGGGAAACGAUGUGGGAAGGCCCAGACAGCCAGGAUGUUGGCUUAGAAGCAGCCAUCAUUUAAAGAAAGCGUAAUAGCUCACUGGUCGAGUCGGCCUGCGCGGAAGAUGUAACGGGGCUAAACCAUGCACCGAAGCUGCGGCAGCGACGCUUAUGCGUUGUUGGGUAGGGGAGCGUUCUGUAAGCCUGCGAAGGUGUGCUGUGAGGCAUGCUGGAGGUAUCAGAAGUGCGAAUGCUGACAUAAGUAACGAUAAAGCGGGUGAAAAGCCCGCUCGCCGGAAGACCAAGGGUUCCUGUCCAACGUUAAUCGGGGCAGGGUGAGUCGACCCCUAAGGCGAGGCCGAAAGGCGUAGUCGAUGGGAAACAGGUUAAUAUUCCUGUACUUGGUGUUACUGCGAAGGGGGGACGGAGAAGGCUAUGUUGGCCGGGCGACGGUUGUCCCGGUUUAAGCGUGUAGGCUGGUUUUCCAGGCAAAUCCGGAAAAUCAAGGCUGAGGCGUGAUGACGAGGCACUACGGUGCUGAAGCAACAAAUGCCCUGCUUCCAGGAAAAGCCUCUAAGCAUCAGGUAACAUCAAAUCGUACCCCAAACCGACACAGGUGGUCAGGUAGAGAAUACCAAGGCGCUUGAGAGAACUCGGGUGAAGGAACUAGGCAAAAUGGUGCCGUAACUUCGGGAGAAGGCACGCUGAUAUGUAGGUGAAGUCCCUCGCGGAUGGAGCUGAAAUCAGUCGAAGAUACCAGCUGGCUGCAACUGUUUAUUAAAAACACAGCACUGUGCAAACACGAAAGUGGACGUAUACGGUGUGACGCCUGCCCGGUGCCGGAAGGUUAAUUGAUGGGGUCAGCGCAAGCGAAGCUCUUGAUCGAAGCCCCGGUAAACGGCGGCCGUAACUAUAACGGUCCUAAGGUAGCGAAAUUCCUUGUCGGGUAAGUUCCGACCUGCACGAAUGGCGUAAUGAUGGCCAGGCUGUCUCCACCCGAGACUCAGUGAAAUUGAACUCGCUGUGAAGAUGCAGUGUACCCGCGGCAAGACGGAAAGACCCCGUGAACCUUUACUAUAGCUUGACACUGAACAUUGAGCCUUGAUGUGUAGGAUAGGUGGGAGGCUUUGAAGUGUGGACGCCAGUCUGCAUGGAGCCGACCUUGAAAUACCACCCUUUAAUGUUUGAUGUUCUAACGUGGACCCGUAAUCCGGGUUGCGGACAGUGUCUGGUGGGUAGUUUGACUGGGGCGGUCUCCUCCUAAAGAGUAACGGAGGAGCACGAAGGUUGGCUAAUCCUGGUCGGACAUCAGGAGGUUAGUGCAAUGGCAUAAGCCAGCUUGACUGCGAGCGUGACGGCGCGAGCAGGUGCGAAAGCAGGUCAUAGUGAUCCGGUGGUUCUGAAUGGAAGGGCCAUCGCUCAACGGAUAAAAGGUACUCCGGGGAUAACAGGCUGAUACCGCCCAAGAGUUCAUAUCGACGGCGGUGUUUGGCACCUCGAUGUCGGCUCAUCACAUCCUGGGGCUGAAGUAGGUCCCAAGGGUAUGGCUGUUCGCCAUUUAAAGUGGUACGCGAGCUGGGUUUAGAACGUCGUGAGACAGUUCGGUCCCUAUCUGCCGUGGGCGCUGGAGAAUUGAGGGGGGCUGCUCCUAGUACGAGAGGACCGGAGUGGACGCAUCACUGGUGUUCGGGUUGUCAUGCCAAUGGCACUGCCCGGUAGCUAAAUGCGGAAGAGAUAAGUGCUGAAAGCAUCUAAGCACGAAACUUGCCCCGAGAUGAGUUCUCCCUGACUCCUUGAGAGUCCUGAAGGAACGUUGAAGACGACGACGUUGAUAGGCCGGGUGUGUAAGCGCAGCGAUGCGUUGAGCUAACCGGUACUAAUGAACCGUGAGGCUUAACCUUACAACGCCGAAG